UGGGCGGGGCCGGGGCUGAGGGAGCUGUGAGGGGAUGGCUCCGAGUGGAAAAGGGCUUCGAAAUCGCCCCGUGCGGGACUGGAAUGACUCAUGCCUUGAACACUGCUAUGAAAAAGUUUUGCCCAUUAUAACAAAAAGAGUAUAAAGAAGCUACAACCACAGAAGCUGCCCUGGAGACUUUGGCUGGAAGUUAAACCCCUAGAAACGCUGUGGUUCAAUCAUCACAGCCUAGGGAGAAACAAACAGGACUGAGGGAGAGGAACGCCUCCACAAAAGAGCCAAAUGCAGCAGAGAUCCUUCCCUGGCUGGGUUUGGGGUGUGGAGACCUCAGCCCACAGUGGCCAGCUUUCCAGAGCCUCGCCCCGAAACGAGGAGGCUGUGGGUGAGGUUUUGGGUGCAAGCUCUAGUCAGAGGCACUGAACACCCAUCCUGCCUUGCCCCAACCCCACAGGCCACAUCCACGGGACAUUCACAAGAGGGACACCUCAGGGGGUGUCAGAACCCAUCAAAGACCCCCCAAAGUGCCCCUCAGAGUCAUUCCUGAAGCCUUGCACGGGAUCCAAAGAUCUGGAGUCUGCUGCAAGAGACAGCCCUGGACAUUCCCACCUGGCCCGAGCUAUAAUAACCCAUGGGAUUCUGUGCUUCUGUGGGACCAUCACCACCAAGAGCAGCUGGAGAGGAUCAGCAGAACAUGGUUGGGAUCUCUGGACUGGUGGUAUUUCUUUAUUCCGUCCCUGUUGCUCUCUUGCUGUCCUUUCCCCACCACCUAUUCUCCAUCUCUUUAUUUUCUCUCAUAUUUACUGUCAAAUAAAACCCUCCUAUUCCACUGGCA